CCAGCCGAGCUCUGGUCGUUGCAGAGCAUGAGAAGAAGCAGAAGCUGGAGACGGACGCCAUGUUCCGGCUGGAGCACGGCGAGGCCGACCGCAGCACACUCAAGAAGGCGCUGCCCACCCUGAGCCACAUCCAGGAGGCCCAGAGCGCCUGGAAGGACGACUUCGCCCUCAACAGCAUGCUGCGGAGAAGGUUCCGGCAGCUCCAGGAGGGCAAGGGUUUUUCCCUGCCUGCCGCUGUAUCCCCAGUGUCUAGAACAAAGCCUAGCACAAGGAAAAGAAAAAAGCCAUCCAGGAGGAGGAGGAGAGAGACCAGGCCUUGCAGGCCAAGGCGAGCCUGACUAUCCCACUGGUGCCCGAGACGGAAGAUGACCGCAAGCUGGCGGCUCUGCUGAAGUUCCACACCCUGGACUCCUACGAGGACAAGCAGAAACUCAAGCGGACCGAGAUCAUCAGCCGCUCCUGGUUCCCCUCCGUCCCCGGAUCCGCCUCCAGCAGCAAGGCCAGCGGCGUCCUGAAGAAGCUGGCACAGAGCCGCAGAACCGCACUUGCCACCUCCCCCAUCACCGUGGGGGACCUGGGCAUCGUGCGGCGGAGGUCUCGGGACGUCCCGGAGAGCCCCCAGCAUGCGGCCGACACCCCCAAAUCUAGGGAACCGCGGGUACCAGAGGAGGCUACCCAGGACCGGCCCAUGUCCCCCGGAGACUGUCCUCCGGAAACAGCUGAGACCCCCAAGUGCAGCAGGCCGAGGGGGC
rnacentral:sRNA from 1 species